UGUCAAAAAUUUCAUCUAUUUGUAUUGUUAAAAACUAGCAUGGUUGAUGGAAUAUCAUAUAGUGACACGUGAUAUGCCACAUGUACCUCAUGUUGAUGUACAAUAACCAAUUUUUAAUAGUAGAAUUGAAUGGAAUUUUUAACA
rfam:Gossypium raimondii Chr04_contig_49, whole genome shotgun sequence.